rnacentral:rRNA from 1 species
UGGGGAAUCUUGCGCAAUGGCCGAAAGGCUGACGCAGCGACGCCGCGUGUGGGAGGAAGCUCUUCGGGGUGUAAACCACUGUUGCCCGGGACGAACGAUGAGCAUUGGCUCAUGUGACGGUACCGGGUGAGGAAGCACCGGCUAACUCUGUGCCAGCAGCCGCGGUAAUACAGAGGGUGCGAGCGUUGUCCGGAAUCACUGGGCGUAAAGGGCGCGUAGGCGGCUCGGUAAGCGUGCGGUGAAAGCCCGGGGCUCAACCCCGGGUCGGCCGUGCGAACUGCAGAGCUGGAGCACUGUAGAGGCAGGUGGAAUUCCGGGUGUAGCGGUGGAAUGCGUAGAGAUCCGGAAGAACACCGGUGGCGAAGGCGGCCUGCUGGGCAGUAGCUGACGCUGAUGCGCGACAGCGUGGGGGAGCAAACAGGAUUAGAUACCC